UUCCCCGAGAAGAGUAAAAAAACUAUCAAUUGAGUGAUUUGCGGCGCGCUCCGAGGUUAUGGCGACCGCGGAAGAGGGCGGCGAUGGAUUCUAAUUCCUAGCAGAUCCAGUGGACAGGUUCCACUUGGUGGAUCUUGGACGCGGCGCCUUCACUCCCGAUGGUGAGCCAGAGGCUAAUCUGACACAGUCAGCGGCUGAAUCCAGCAUGGGAGAUGUGGCCUGUGGGCGAUGUGCCGCUAACCCUGCAAUUGGCCAUCAGCAACGGCUGUGAAGCAUCAAGCUUCUCUGCGACGGAUUCGCAACAGUCAACUGGAAAGGAUGACCCUCAAGCCCCGGCUGGACUAAAAGGUAAAAUAUCUCGCACGCUUGUACUGCAUCUUCAUUUUGCCGUACCAGUGCUGCAUCUUCAUUUGCUGCUUUGUAUGCACGAGCCAACCGUAAUCUUUUCAUCAUGGAGUCGCCAGUGAACUGUGAGCUGUACUCACUCUAAUGAAGUGACAAGUCGCACACGUUGUGUCUCUGAGGCCUUCUGUUUGGAUACAACAAACACAUGAUCUAGUUCAGUUGAGUUUGGUCAGGUUCUUGAUUUCUUGGGUAUAGAGAAAAUACCAUCAAAGCACAUCCUCUAGAGGUGGACGAAAGAUGCAAGAGAUAUACUUCCAUAGCAGUUGGCACACGCACAGGAAAACCAUAUUUCGGUUAACUCCAUUACAUUCAGACAUUCAAAUCUGUAUACUCAUGCUUUGGAGGUUGUAAAACUUGGUGAUGCAAACCAAAUUGCAUAUGAUUGUGCAAUGGAGCUUCUUAGAUCAGCAAUGUAUAAACUGAUGCCUUUAGCUUCUGAGCAUGACGGUCUGGGUUUAGAACACAUAAUUGAGUUCAACAAGCCAAAAGGUACAGAAUUGAGUGUGUUCCUGAACCACAAAAAGUAUGCGGGAGUGAUGCUGGAGGUAGCGCAGUUGGAAAUUUCAUUGGUUUGGCAGCUCCAGAACGCAAACGGAAGGCCGGUCGACCAACCAGCAGCAGAGACAAGCCUCCAUAUGAUGAUCUCGGUGCAAAGAGCAAAAAAAGUAAGUUUCUGGCACAUCUAGAUGCUGCUGUAGGAUGUGGUACAAGCAAACGAACAUGUUUCUGCAGUAUAUGUCGCGAACCAGGGCACAAGAGCACAACAUGUCCACAGAGGGUGAGCUCCCUGAAAAGAAAAGGAAAAAAAGCCAAAUGCUCAAUAUGCGGAGUGGGAGGGCAUCGCAAGAACACCUGCAACAAUCCAAAGAUUGUUUACAUGUUCCUCAGAAAGCUACACAUGAACGACCUGUGGAAAUGUGAUUAAUCUGGUGUAUCACUGAACUUCCACUGUUUUUCCCUUGUAUGAUUAUUGCUCACUACCUAGUGGUGUGAAAUAAAUUAUGUAUUGUCAGCUUAGAAGUUGUGACAAUGUUUCCUCUUGUACUCCCUCCGUUCCAAAAUAGAUGACUCAACUUUGUACUAAAGUGAGUACAAAGUUGAGUCAUCUAUUUCGGAACGGAUGGAGUAUAUGUCUAAAACCUUUGGCUUAGAUUAAUCUGGUGUAUCACUGAAUUUCCACUGUUUUUCCCUUGUAUGAUGAGUGCUCAGUACCCAGCUGUGUGAAAUAAAUUA